ACAAUAUUCUUAUGACUACACGCCAUCAAUGGAAGAAGGGGUAAAAAAGAUACAACCCAAGCGAAAAGUCAAGGUUCUGUUAUGUAUGGCUGCCUGCAGGUAAGGUUACGAAGUCUAUUAACAGUUAGAAUUCACAAACUUUUUUAUCUCCUCCAUGAGACAAUAGAAGUGAUCAUUAUUUGGCAGGAAGUAGAACCCUAUUGUGGCCUGUUUUAGAUAGAGAAGUUUCACUUCAUGGCCAGCUCUCUGGAGUCCUUCAACAUAUGCCAAUUGCCAGUCUUGAACGAGAUCGAAACCAGCCACAACAACUAGACUUUUAGGGAACUCCAGUCCUUCAAGCUUUUUCCCCCUUGGACCAAAUAUAUUACAUGCUGGAUGGUCCCUAUCUUCUCCUUCAGGUAGAUAUGCUCUCCAAUACCAGUCGCGGUCUUGAAUUGUAACAAAGUACUUGCCAUCUAAUAUCUUCUCUGAUUCUGUUCUCUGUUGACCACCAAACAUUGGGUGAAGAAGAAUAUUACCCAACACAUCGAUUUCUUCCUCCGCCGCUCUCGCGGCAACAUGGUGAGCUAUAUUACCACCUGAACUAUCGCCAGCCAAAUAGACAUGAACCUUAGAAUCCUUUCCACUUUGAAGCCAAGUUCUAGAUUUAACCCACUUAAGAGCCGUCCAGCCAUCAUCAUACGCGCAAGGGUAUCGAUACUCAGGUGAUCGACGAUAAUUAACAGACACCACAACAGCCUUGCAAGCGCUGACAAGGCGGCGACAAAAGGUGUCAUAAAUAGCACUAUUAGCAGAGGAAUGAGUAAAGCUUCCACCGUGGAAGAAGAUUAUGACUGGAACAACCUCCGUAGUGUUCAAGGGCUUUUCAAGUUCUACAAUGCCCCAUUGCGCCUCACUUUCAGGGGCAGGUUGGUAAACCCGGUUAAGGAGGCCCGUGGUUCUGUCAACAUGAUCAAAGGAGAAAACCCCAUCAACUGGGAUGGUGUUGGCCUGGACCUUUCGUUCAAGGAACUCUGCCAAUUCGCGGUUAAAGGUCCCAUCCGGGCGGCGAAGGAGAUUAUAUGCAAGCUUGAAAUUGGAAAUGAGGACCCAUGUGUUUAGCGGAACAACCCUCUGCAAGAAGCAAGAAGAAAAUAGGAUUUUAAGGAAUUAGACGUUUUCUUAUAUAGAAAAACUAAAGGUUUACACGAUCUUUGACCUUGGAUUGAUUGAGAGCCAAGCCAGUCAUAUAUGUACAUCUUAGAUAUUAGAGAACGCGUCAGGUUUUUCUUACAGGUAGAAGUAGUUGAAUACUGGUGAUGGUAAAUAAAUCAUGUGAAGGAAACUAGACAGAUUAGAGCUUAAAUGAAAGUUUUUUCCAAGAAUCUUCAAAAUUAAACUUUUGUCAAAAGACACCGUCGAAAUAAUUAAUGCUGAAAAUUAAGAACUUGAUGAACUACUGAAUCAGAUGGGAAGAAAUUGCAGCAGCAGCAAAAUUAGCUCUUAAAAUGACUCCAACCGAAGUCAAAUUCUUCAUCUUCCAAUUUGAAAAUCAAAAUAAACCAUGAAGAAGAAGGAGAAGAAUCAUUAAUUUAAGCUCCAAAAAUCUUCAUUAGAGCAAUGAUAAAUACUGAAAAGAAGGUGAUUUAAAUGAAAGAAAGAAGGGAAAAGGAAAAGGAAUGGUGAAGAAAUGAAGAGAGCACCUUGGAUUCAUUUAGGUUGACUUCAUUGCUACCAGCCAUGAGGGAAUGAAGUGAAAAGAUAUCAAGACGAUAAAACCCAGAAGCUAAAAACACUUGAAAGAAACCAAACUCUUCAUUGUUUCAUUUCUUUCACUAGAAACACUUGAAUUCUUCUGUCUCUCUCUCUCUCUCUCUCUCUCUCUCUCAUUCCUCUUAUUGUUACUAUAUAUAUACAGCUGCAGCUUAUAUUAGGGAACAAAGAGACUGACUUUGUGUAAGAGAGAGAGCGGGGGAGACGUAUAUCUUCUUCUCGGGAGAGAGGGUCAAAGGGACA
rnacentral:lncRNA from 1 species